UUAAUCGCGACGAUGAGAAGAGUACGGAUCAAUUCGGUCUUGAAAGAGAGCCCCGGCAGCUGAAAAGGGGCAGGCACAGACUGGUCCCGAAGAUGGUCUCGGAGCGUUCCAUUCGAAACCUUUGGAGUAGGGUGGGACGGGGCAGGCACCCGUUAUCACACGCCGGAGUAUAAGGGCUAGAUCGGCUUCGUACUCAUGAAGGCAGGAUUUGCGCGAGCAUCCUGCGAACUAAGGUGGUACCACGAGCAUCCCCCUCGUCCUUAGA
rfam:Bacillus marisflavi strain JCM 11544 scaffold1, whole genome shotgun sequence.